UCUCCAGCAGCUAGUUUUUAUUUCCUUCUUCGUUUGCAUCCCUCCGUCAAACCCUAGAACAGCAUCUCGAUCUAAUUCGAUCCUUUUUCUCAGUUUUGGAGCUCUAAUUCCAUCGAAAUCGCUCAUGUGUCUGCUAUAAUUCCAUAGAUCAGCUCUCGACUUGUUGUCAGUCAGGCUAAUCUGAUUGUUAGAUGCUUAAAGAGACCAUAUCUGUGAUCACAAAUGAUGGACGCAAUAUAGUGGGAGUUUUAAAAGGCUUUGAUCAAGCUACAAACAUCAUAUCGGAUGAAUCUCAUGGGAGGGUUUACUCCACAAAGUGAAUCUGCUAGAAUACAGCUUGCAUUUGUUACUUUCAAGGAGUGACAGAGAGCUGAUACAACGAUUCUUCUCAGUGAGUUCUUUUACAUAAUACAGAAAUUUUCUCUAUUGAAAUUUGGAUCUUUUUUUUUGUAGAGUUUGAGAUUGUGAGUGUAGGUGUGUCUCGCUGUUUCUAUAUCAUUAGUGAAUGAACUUCUUUUUUCCCUUGUCAA